GAAAUGUGAUAAGUAAUGUGAAUUGCAGAAUUCAGUGAAUCAUCGAAUCUUUGAACGCACCUUGCGCUCCUUGGUAUUCCGAGGAGCAUGUCUGUUCGAGUGUUAUGAAAAUUUCAACCCACCCUUUCUUAGUAGAGGACUGGUGUUUGGUUCGUGGGCGUUCGUGCCGGUUGUUUUUACGAAAGCGAUCAGGCUCGCCUGAAAUAUAUGAGCAGUUUCUUCUCUAGAAACUUGGCUUGACUUGGCGUAAUAAAUAUUUCGCUGAGGACAAUCGCUCUGGCGGUUGGCCAAUUCUUGAGAGGAGGGCUUCUAAUGACUUUUCAAACUCUUUUGACCUCGAAUCAGAUAGGACUACCCGCUGAACUUAA
rnacentral:misc_RNA from 1 species